GGCCGUGUGGCGAAAUGGCAUCGCGUCUGACUACGAUCUUCUCGCAUUGGUUGCAAGUUCAAGUAAUCAGGAGAUUGCAGGUUCGACCCCUGUCUCGGUCA